rnacentral:rRNA from 1 species
UGGCUCAGAUUGACGCUGGCGGCAGGCCUAACACAUGCAAGUCGAACGGUAACAGGAAGCAGCUUGCUGCUUUGCUGACGAGUGGCGGACGGGUGAGUAAUGUCUGGGAAACUGCCUGAUGGAGGGGGAUAACUACUGGAAACGGUAGCUAAUACCGCAUAACGUCGCAAGACCAAAGAGGGGGACCUUAGGGCCUCUUGCCAUCGGAUGUGCCCAGAUGGGAUUAGCUAGUAGGUGGGGUAACGGCUCACCUAGGCGACGAUCCCUAGCUGGUCUGAGAGGAUGACCAGCCACACUGGAACUGAGACACGGUCCAGACUCCUGCGGGAGGCAGCAGUGGGGAAUAUUGCACAAUGGGCGCAAGCCUGAUGCAGCCAUGCCGCGUGUAUGAAGAAGGCCUUCGGGUUGUAAAGUACUUUCAGCGGGGAGGAAGGGAGUAAAGUUAAUACCUUUGCUCAUUGACGUUACCCGCAGAAGAAGCACCGGCUAACUCCGUGCCAGCAGCCGCGGUAAUACGGAGGGUGCAAGCGUUAAUCGGAAUUACUGGGCGUAAAGCGCACGCAGGCGGUUUGUUAAGUCAGAUGUGAAAUCCCCGGGCUCAACCUGGGAACUGCAUCUGAUACUGGCAAGCUUGAGUCUCGUAGAGGGGGGUAGAAUUCCAGGUGUAGCGGUGAAAUGCGUAGAGAUCUGGAGGAAUACCGGUGGCGAAGGCGGCCCCCUGGACGAAGACUGACGCUCAGGUGCGAAAGCGUGGGGAGCAAACAGGAUUAGAUACCCUGGUAGUCCACGCUGUAAACGAUGUCGACUUGGAGGUUGUGCCCUUGAGGCGUGGCUUCCGGAGCUAACGCGUUAAGUCGACCGCCUGGGGAGUACGGCCGCAAGGUUAAAACUCAAAUGAAUUGACGGGGGCCCGCACAAGCGGUGGAGCAUGUGGUUUAAUUCGAUGCAACGCGAAGAACCUUACCUGGUCUUGACAUCCACGGAAGUUUUCAGAGAUGAGAAUGUGCCUUCGGGAACCGUGAGACAGGUGCUGCAUGGCUGUCGUCAGCUCGUGUUGUGAAAUGUUGGGUUAAGUCCCGCAACGAGCGCAACCCUUAUCCUUUGUUGCCAGCGGUCCGGCCGGGAACUCAAAGGAGACUGCCAGUGAUAAACUGGAGGAAGGUGGGGAUGACGUCAAGUCAUCAUGGCCCUUACGACCAGGGCUACACACGUGCUACAAUGGCGCAUACAAAGAGAAGCGACCUCGCGAGAGCAAGCGGACCUCAUAAAGUGCGUCGUAGUCCGGAUUGGAGUCUGCAACUCGACUCCAUGAAGUCGGAAUCGCUAGUAAUCGUGGAUCAGAAUGCCACGGUGAAUACGUUCCCGGGCCUUGUACACACCGCCCGUCACACCAUGGGAGUGGGUUGCAAAAGAAGUAGGUAGCUUAACCUUCGGGAGGGCGCUUACCACUUUGUGAUUCAUGACUGGGGUGAAGUCGUAACAAGG